UCAAUCCUAUCUUCUUCUCCCCUUGCUCCACCGCUCAGAGCACACUGCUCUGUCUCCGCCACGCAAUACAGAGAGGAGUGGCCUUCGCCGGCGACGAGGCUCCUCCCUGACCAGAUCCCGCCACAGUCGCGGCGGCAGGGGUCGAGGACGACGACCACGAGGGAUCCGCGGAGGGGGCCAGGGAUUUGGCGUUCGCUACAGCCGAGCACCAGGUACUGCCACGCUACGACUCAGCUCCUCGCCGACCGGAGCGAGGUGCCGUCGCGGUCCGAUGCCGAGCGCCGCCGCGAGCACCAGGCCGCCGCGCUCGGGGCGACGCUGCCCGCACCAUCCCUGCGAUGCGCCCACCUCCAACCCGGCGGCGAUGGCGAUGUCCGCGAGGCCCUGGGCGCGAGGGAGGCGAUGGCGAUCAGCUGAAGCGGCGGCGCCGUCAUCCUACACCGGGAGGCGGGGCCUGGUGGUGCACGAGGCUGCGGGACGCGGAAGGGGGAGAAGCAAUGGAGGUACUGUUCGAGGAGGCGGGGCGCGGAGGGAGAGAGCAGUGGAGGUGCUGACGCUGACGCCGCGGCGCUUCAUGGAGGUCAACUAGGAGGUGGACGAGGCCUUGCAGCUCGCAGCCGACCUGCUCGCCGAUGCGCCAAUAGGGAUCUGCUCGCCGGCGGGGACGCCGUUUUCUUCUAGUGAUGUGCGGAUGGUGAACUGCUCGCCGGGAUUCACCCCGAGCCCAGGUAUUCCGCCGCCUCCUAGUAGCCGCCCGAGCUGUGCUCAUGUGCCUUGCCGUUAGCUGAGCUCUCCUACUGCUACUGACCUGGGACGAGCACAACAGCAGAGCACAUGCGUGCAGAUUUAGUUAGAACAGGAAGUUUCGUCACAAAGAAUGGUUCAGGUUCAGCUUAAUGUACACUGAAACUUUGCACUUUUGUUGUACAGGGAGUGGGAGUAUUCGGGGAUAGGAUAUGUGCAUCGAGCAGAGGGGGCCGGUGUUCACUUCAGGUUUCUUGCCUCAGUCAGAUCAAUUCUGGAGUCCUUGAUCUCCCCGUCCUUCAUCAACAGCUUUACGUGGGAAGGUAUUGGAUAUUACUAAAAGUUUAGGAGAGCAAAUGUAUGAUAGACAAAUAUGCAAAAUAAGAAUGAACUCUUUUUUAGUUGUUCGGUAGCACAUCAUACACUGAUUGCACUGAAACAGGAAUUGCUAGACUAUUGAUGGAGAAGAUCAUGUGUCCCCUUUUUUUAUGUUGUCUAGCAGUGACUUGGGAAUUUGUUUAGCAGUGACAUGCCAAUUUGUUUGACUUUAGAUUUCUGGUUCACAUGGGUACACAUUGGGUACAUCUUGACAAUAUUUUUUCUGGAAUAGUUUCUUUUGAGCAUGGCAAAUUGUGUAGAACAUGAUAUUUAGUACAAUAUGGCAAAUUGGCAACUAGUGUCUAGUGUUUAGCACUGUUUAGUGUUGUUUGUCCUCGUGCGAGAAUUAUAUUGUCAGGACCCUGACUCAAUGCCACAUCGAUCUAGCAUGUAACACCUCAUAUCACUUUGCGGCCUCACGCACGGUAUUCCCACGGGUGUCGCCUUACCUUUGCCCGGGACCGUUUGCGCCUUUUGGCACACGUAUAUGAUAGUGUCGCUAGCAUCCAUAUGAUAAGGAGCCCGGGCUGACAUGGCUAGUCGUAAACCCAAAGUGGCACAAACUUACAGGGACAGGCAUCCAUGACUCAGCAUCGAACGUGUCGGUCAUCAGCGAGUGAAUCCAGGCUGUAGCACUGGGCUAGCAGGACUCCGGUGAACCGGGCUGUAGCGGGCUAAUAGGACUCCGGUAUUCAUCGCGUGACAUUUCCCCGAGGGGACAGACACAGGAACGAAGAAGGACACAUGCCGGCCAGCCUAAGUGUUGCGGAGCAGUAGCAAGCUACCAUGGCUCGGUGGAAACACUAGGAGACAUUUCCCGGUAAGAGGGCUACUAAGGAUAAACAACUAGAUAGUCAGAUCCCACACAUACCAAGCAUUUCAAUAACAUACACACAAUAUGCCCGAUAUGUGCAAAUACAACAUGGCAUCACAACAUGACUCUACGACUCAAGUAUUUAUUCAUUAGGCUCCGAGGAGCGAGAUAUUACAAACAUAGGUCUUAUGACCCAACAUUCAGAGCAUACAAGUCAAAACACAAGCGGAAGCUAUCAUGUCUGAGUACAGACAUCUAUAAAUGAAAAAGGCUGAAAGCCUGACUAUCUACUAGAUCCUGCCGAGGGCACAAGAUCGUAGCUGAGGUAACAAGCUAAACGUCGAAGUCCACGCGGAAUUACUAGUGAGACUGAAGUCUCUGCAAAAACAUAAAAUAGGCAAACGUGAGUACAAAUGUACCUAGCAAGACUUACAUCAGAACUAACUACAUAUGCAUCAUUAUCAACAAGGGGAUGGUGGGGUUUAACUGCAGUAAGCCAGCUUUGACUCGGUGGCUAUCCUGAACUAUGACUGCAAGUAACUCUUUAGAGGUGGCGCACACGAGUCCACAUAUUCACCAUAUCAAUACACCACUAUGGAUCCGCUCCCGUCUCCCUACGAGAACGCCAUCCAUAGCACUCACGCUUAUCUUGCGUAUUUUAGGGUAUCCACUUUCACUUGCCUAUGAACUGAUAUAAGCAACCCAGAAGUCCUUUACCGCGGACACGACUAUUCGAAUAGAUGAUGUUAACCCUGCAGGGGUGUACUUCUUCAUACAUGUUUCCACCACUUAGCGUCUGCACACGACAUGUGCUCGGCAGACUUCAAGCGAAAGCCGACGUGGGUGUAGACCACGACCUACCUAAACACUCAAGUCUCUAGUCCAGGUUUAUCGCCUAUUCGGGUUCCAUCCAUGAGGAGAUCCGGCCGGGGUUUCGCUCACAGCCCCAAACGAUGUGAACAGGGUUCUGUGACACCAAACGGGCGCCCGGUAUACCCGGCCACGGUGUAUCUACCGCAUCACAGCCCACCCCUCGGGUCAGCGCUGCCCACGGCCUCCAACACAUAUCCUACAAACACCAGAAACUAGUUGCAACUCCUGGACAGAGGACAAGGGUGAAUAAGAAGUCGAGCGGGGUCAUAUUUCAGGGCCCAAUGUAUGGUAGUAGCUGAAUCAUGGAUCACAAACACAGAACUCAGUUCCUAAGGACGGCUUCAAUGAGACAACCCACCAUGUACUCCUACAUGGCCUCUCACCGCUACCUUUACCAAAUCGUGUUCACCACUUAGCUCACACACAGUAGGACAUGUUCACACACCUCUGAUUCAUCCCCGAUGAAUCAGACCUGACUCAACUCUAAGCAAUAGCAGGCAUGACAAACAAACAUGAAUGAGUAGGCACCACAUGGCUCAAACAACUCCUACUCAUACUAGUGGGUUUCAUCUAUUUACUGUGGCAAUGAAAGGUCAUGCAGAGGAUAAAGGGGUUUAGCUAUCGCAGCAAGUAACAGAUGAAUCGUUGUUGUCCUAAUGUAGUAAAAGAGAGCAGGAGCGAGAGAGUGGGAUUGUAUCGGAAUGAACAAGGGGGUUUUGCUUGCCUGGCACUUCUGAAGAUAACAUCGAGUCUUCAUCAGUGUCAACGAUCACAUCGUCGGUACAACGUCUACCGAGGGGGAACAACACCGGCAAACACAGAAGAAACACGAUCAAUGCAAUGCACAAUAUGAUGCAUGCUAUGACAUGGCAAUAUGAAUGUGUUUUGGGCUAAUGCACCUAGCUAUGAUUUAAAUGAAGUUGGUUUGAUUACAUGAUUCAAAUUCCAACUCCAUAUAUGAUUAUUUAAAUGCCCUGUAUUUGUUUUGUCCAAAACAGAGGACAAACAUUGUUCAAACAUGGAUGAAAAUGGUACAGAUGGAUUCCUUAAAUUUUUCUGAUAAUUUUUCAUAUAUAAUUUGUUUGAUUUGGAGUCACGGUUGAAUUACUAUGACUUUUAGAAGUUUUAGCUAUUUUCUGAAAUAAAUAAAUCGUUUAGAUUUAUUUAAAAAUCCAGAAAAGGGUUUACUGCGUCAGCAUGACGUUGGCAUGACGUCAGCAGGUCAACAGGGGCUGGUCCGGGUCAAACCUGACCAGCGGGGUCCACUAGUCAGUGGCAUAACUAAUUAACCAAGUUAAUUAGCCUUAAGUUAAUUCUAACUAAAUUGUUUGUGGGGCCGGGGCCCACUAGUCAGCGACUAAUCAGCUAACUGACCUAGGUUAAUUAGUGUUAAACUAAUACUAACUAAAAAUGUCAGGGGGUGGCCCACACGUCAGUGACACACGGGGAAGGUCAAACCAUGGCCAAACUCGGGUCAACUCGCCGGAGUUGACCCGCGGCUCGUCGCCGGCAGAGCCAGAGACGGCGGAGGGGUGCGGGUUUUGUCCUUCGACGACCAAAUUAGCGGCCGAGACCACCCAUAGAGAGCUGGCACUCUCGCGCAUCCAUUGAAGCAAGCGAGAGAGGCUGCAGUGGAGUGAGCUCGCUGGAGUCGAGCUCGUGGCGGCGGCCGGAGUACGGGCGAGGUCCGGGUUGGCGCUAGGGGGCACGGGAGGGGGAGCUGGUGUGUGUGUUAGGCUCCUGGUGAGGUGUGGAGCACGUUGCCGUGCUCCGGGAGUUAGCUAUGGUGGCUCUGGCCUCGUCUGCGUCAUCGCCGGCGGCGAGGAGCUCACGGCCCCCGGUGAAAAGGGCGGCUAGAGUGCAGGAACGAGCGCGGGGAGGAGGGGGAAUGGAAGAGGAGCUCACAGCGGAUCCGAUAGAAGCAACGGCGAGGCCGGGGAGGGGCUGGAGCUCGCGAAUCCCCGAAAGUUCGCCGGCGGCCGAAGGUUGGGGACGAGCUCUGGGAAGACGCUACAGGGCUCCCGCAGUCGAAUGGGUUGGUGUAGAAGACACAGAAGGCGAUGGCGGUUCCUCUGGACUCAUCGGAGAGGCACGAGGUGGACGGUGGCCGCGGUGGUGCUCGUCGGCGGCGGCGGGUGUGUUCGGUGGUUGCGUGCGAGAGAGCCAGAGGAGGAGAGGAGCUCGGGGAGAGAGUGAGAGGCCCGGGGGGCGCGUGGAGCUGCGGGAGACGCCCAGGGAGAGGAGGAGGCAGCCAGGCAGGGUGGUGGCGUGGCGAGCUCGGCGGCGUCGCGGUGUCCCUCCUCUGCCUACUGGCACGAGGAGGAAGGCGACAGGGAGGAGGUGGUGGUGGGCUAGGCCGGCCAGCUGCAGUGUUGGGCCGGUUGGUGGCGCCAGGUAAGUGCCCCAGGUAGGCUCUCUCUCUCUCUGGUUUUUCUAUUUAUUAAUGUUUUCUAUUUUUUGUAAUUGGUUUUGAUUUGAUUUAAAACAUCAAAUCAUUUUUUUAACUUUUUGUAAAUUGUAUGUGAGCUCAGGAACUAGUCCAAGGUCACAGGAAACUUACAAAAAUAUUUGAACUUUAUUUCUUAUAUAAUAGAAAUAAAUUCAACUCAAAUAUGUCGUUGGUUUAAGUCAAAGGCCCAAAAUAAAUAUUUCUGUGAUACCAAAAAUAUUGGUUUGAAUUUUACCUCAUGCCAAUAUUUUUGCAGAAUAACAUGAACAUUUUCUUCGACUCAUUUGAUGAGAUUUAAAUGUUGGUUAUUUUUAGAGGACUUCUGAGGUUUUUGAAAAUUCCUCAAUUCAAAUUUCAUUUGAAUUUAAACAUAAUGCACACAUGGAAGCUGGCAUAGGUCAGACCAGAAUUAGGGAUGUGACAUAUAUUCAGUAAUUUGCCAUGGCAUUUGUCCUCCUGUAUUUAGUCUGUAGUGCAAAUUUUGUAAACUUGCCAUGUGAUCAGUACAUACAAACUCUAGCUUUGAAAUGAAUCAUGAAUCGAAUUUUCUCUAGAUUUUGCCAUGAAUCAAAAGUAUAUAUUGUUGAACACUGUUUUGCCAUGGCAAAAAGGAUUUUAUAGCUUUUGGCAUGCCUCUAAUAUAGCUUUUUCCAUGUCACCACUAUAACUUUUGGCAUGACAUACACAUAUUUUUUUUACCAAGGCAAAUUUGCUAAUCUGUUUGCCAUGCCUCUAAUAUAGUUUUCGCCAUGUCACCACUACAACUUUGGCCAUGUUCACAUGGAGUAGUAAAAAAACAAAUUUGAGUUGAUUGUAGAAAUAUGUGUUUGUUUCCCUUUUUUUGACUUUGUAGGAUUGAUGAUGACCACAUUAAGCAUUGCAACUUUUAAGAGAUUUGAUUUUGCUUUUGUACUUACUACUGCAAAUCCACCCAGGUAAGUUUGCCAUGUCAAUUAACAUGCAGUAUGUUUGUGCCAUGGCAAAUUUGCAUUCUUUUUCAUUUCAUUUACACGGCAAGUCUUCAAAACAUUUUAGUAUUCCCUCCAUCUCGAAAUAUAUCUACAACCUAGAAAAUUACCUAAAAACUAAUUACUUUUUUUAAACAGAAAGAGUUACUUUCGCGCCACCUAAUUUAGGUGUACAGUUGUUUGCGCCAAUACUUUUUAACCUCCCGCUAAAAGGUCCCAAAUUAGCGUCUUUGUUCCCACCAGAAAAUUAGCUUCCCGCUAAAUACCUUCCUAACAACCCACGAAUAUAUAAUUCUAGACCAAACGACGGCGUCUUCACGGGCGAUUGGAUCUGAGCUCUCGUCUCGGUUCAUCUCUGCUGCCGGCGUCAUGACGGCGUCAACAGAGCGAACCACAUCAGGUGCACAGCGUCAGGUUAGUCCUCCUCCCGAUCUCCUUCAUCGCUGAAAAAUCCAGUCCUCCUCGAUCUCCCCCUCCCCCCUCUCCUCUGCGUCCGCCUCCGUCCGGGAUCAAACCCCCCUCCCCCACGAGCUCCUCAUCGAUGCGCGGCUCUCUCAAUCCUGAUCCAUUCAGAGGGGCUGCCCCUUCUCUCCUCCGCUCGCCGCUUGGCCGUAGAAAAGAAGUCAGGGCAAUGGACAUGCCGCCGCCGGUGGCAUUUUCCCAUCGCGCCUCGAUUUGGCCGCCUCGGCUGAGGCGCUCGUGGCCUGGAGGGUCGGCGCAGCGCCUCACCUUGGCCUGGAGGCUGGCCUCCAUGGAGCUCGCCUCGGCCUUGAACUGGGGCUCAACGGGGCCUCCCGGCCCGGUUCAUGGCCGCAGCCGUCUCGGCUGUGCACGCCGGCAUCGUGACAUGGUGGCCAGGCGCUGGUAAUUGCCGCACCCGACCCCAGCAUACCCGAGGUGCCUGCAGGCCUCUCCACCAUCUCUGCUCCUGGUUCUGUUUCCUCGUGGACGCCAAAGGGGGUCGUGAGCAUUAGAUUGGUUUUUGAGCAUUAGAUCCAUUAACUGAAAGAUAUAGACAUACUCUGUAAUCUGUAUGUGCAAAGCUAGCUAGCUUGCAUUUUUAUUAGUUAAGUGCCGGCUUUCUGAGUUCAAUCCCCCAACUAAUAAUGGUGCCAAAUACCAGGUUUUUUUCUACAUACAUGGAUGCUUUCAUGAUCCACUUUACAUUUGUUUCCCCCUGGGUUCAGUCUGAAUCUUUACAUUACACUUAGAAUCCUACCAUCACCGUCACUGUCACUCUGCAUACAACAUUAAUUCUUAUAUCUAAAUCAGGUUGAUUAGCUUUUGAUGUAAUAUUAUCCGUCUUGCCUAAAAUAAAUCCACAUUCUUACACUCUGGUUUCUUCUUAUACAUCCUACAGUCACUUUCUUAUAAAUAUUUUUUAGCAAUUAGCGUAGAUCGAGAUGAGUUUCUUUCAACACAUUUUAAGACAUAAUGUCAUAUAUUAGAUGUUAUAUGUGCGUCAACAGAGCAGAGGAUUUAGGUUUAGUCAUCAUCUGCAUUGCAUUUGAUUCAGAUUACUAUAAGCUGAUUUUUAAUAGAUAUUUGGUCUUACACGAGUCACAUUGCAUUUUUUUCCUAUAGAUUCAGAGUAGUGUUUUCAUGAACCUAUCACUGAUACUUUGCCUUUCAUGUUCAUUCACAUAUGUCUGGUUUACCCACACAAGGGCACUGUCACAUCCCUAGCUUCUGGCAUUGCUCUAGCCUAGCUUCAUGUGUGCAUCAUGUCUAUAUUUUUGAAACUUGAAUUGAGGAAUAUUGGAAGCCUCAAAACCCUAAAUAAAAGAGGGGCAAAAACCCUAGAAAUCUCAUUCAUUGCUCCAAAAGGCUCUUCUUAAAUGUUUGAUAAUUUUUGGUAAGGGUUCUGGUCCCAACCAAAAUAUUGAACAUUUUUAAGGAUUUAUUUUUGGGACUUUGAAUUUAAAUCAUUAGCUAUUUGAAUUUGAAUUAUAUUCAUAUAAUUAGAAUAUAAUUUCAAAUACCCCUGAAAUAUUUUAUGAGCUUUUGGAAAAGUCCAUCUAGCAACAUAAAUUAUUCAGAGGAUAUUUGGCACUGUUUUGAAUUUGUUUAAAUUUGAAAACAGUGGCAAAGAAAAAAAAAAGAAAA
rnacentral:lncRNA from 1 species